GUAGUGGCAGUUACCCUCACUAACUAUAACAUGUACCCACCGCUGGACAACAAGUUCAGUGAUAACAGUUACCCACACCCACGUGUGUAGACGAGUAUUCUAAAAUAUUGAUUCUUAACUUUUAAAUAUGUUGAUUCUUUGUCACAAAUGGUUAUUAAAUACAUUUUACCGACCUUCACGAGGACAAUCAAAUAUAUAUUUUAUUGCUUUAAAGUUGAAUGUCUGGCUUGAGUAAGAUCAUAUUUGUCUUCUUUAAAGUGUAUGGUGCACUCCAAAAGAAUGUGAUGCUCUAGAAAACACAACUCACAUGAUAUGACCGGAUCUAAAAAACUAUAUUGGCUAAUAAGCCAAGAAACCAAAGGGGAACACUCACCCGAGAAAAUAAUGACGUUGACAUAAAACACUGAAGCACGAAGAUUGAGAUGUAGUCGGCCAUACUAAUGGUGGGGAAAAAACUUAAAGUUGUAUGAACUGGGAGGUCUAUGAAGCAUCACAUAAUAACAGCCAUUAAUUGGUUUCAAUGACCUUCAAAACAUUUAAUCACACAAAUUUACUUUGAAACUAUAUUAC
rnacentral:lncRNA from 1 species